rnacentral:misc_RNA from 1 species
GUCACAUUAGAUAGUUAAUUGUAGAUGUUUGAUCUUUUAAAUAUUUCUUGCCCAGCUGGAAUAUAGUUUGUCUUUGUAUUUAUUUAUCUUCCUGUGGAAUCUUUGGCAUUCAUGAAUGAGUUGUCCCUUUUUAGUUUGGAAAACAUUUGGAUCUGUAUAUUGUAAAAACUGGAAUUUGUCUGUGUUAUUGCAUUAGUUUGUAAUAUAGGCAGCUCCUGUUACUUAUUAGCGCACUUGGUAACAGUUUCUGUCAAUGCUAAAAGUUACUUCUACAAUGGAAUCAACUUUU